GAUCUCCUAGCUCAGCUGGUAGAGCACAACACUUUUAAUGUUGGGGUCGUGGGUUCGAGCCCCACGGGGAUCA
rnacentral:tRNA from 2 species